GAUGAACGCUGGCGGCGUGCCUAAUACAUGCAAGUCGAACGAAAAGAUGCGGAGCUUGCUCCUCUCUCGUUAGCGGAGGACGGGAGUGUCACGCGUGUAUAACCUACCUAUAUGACUGGGAUCACUUGGGGACACCGGAGCUAAUACCAGAUAAUAUAUUGCACCACAUGGUUCAAUGGUGAAAGUCGGUUUUGCUGUAACUUCUAGAUGGAUACGCGCCGCUUUGGGUAGUUGGUAAGGUACCGGCUUACGACGGCGACGAUGCGUUGCCGACCUGACGGGGUGGUCGGCGACACGGGAACGGAGACACGGACCAUACUCCUACGGGAGGCAGCAGUAGGGAAUCGGACGCAAUAGGCGAGAGCAUGACAGAGCAACGCCGCGUGAGAGACGAAGGUCUUGGGAUCGUAAUGCUCUGUUAUUAGGUAAGAACAAAUGUGGAAGUAGCUAUGCACUGCUUGACGGUACCUAAUAAGAAAGCCACGGCUAACUACGUG
rnacentral:rRNA from 1 species